UGGGGAAUUUUGGACAAUGGGGGAAACCCUGAUCCAGCCAUCCCGCGUGUGCGAUGAAGGCCUUCGGGUUGUAAAGCACUUUUGGCAGGAAAGAAACGUCAUGGGUUAAUACCCCGUGAAACUGACGGUACCUGCAGAAUAAGCACCGGCUAACUACGUGCCAGCAGCCGCGGUAAUACGUAGGGUGCAAGCGUAAAUCGGAAUUACUGGGCGUAAAGCGUGCGCAGGCGGUUCGGAAAGAAAGAUGUGAAAUCCCAGAGCUCAACUUUGGAACUGCAUUUGUAACUACCGGGCUAGAGUGUGUCAGAGGGAGGUGGAAUUCCGCGUGUAGCAGUGAAAUGCGUAGAUAUGCGGAGGAACACCGAUGGCGAAGGCAGCCUCCUGGGAUAACACUGACGCUCAUGCACGAAAGCGUGGGGAGCAAACAGG
rnacentral:rRNA from 1 species